GCAUGGAUGCACACUGUGAUAUAUGCAUGCUGUGCGAAUACACGAUCCAAGCAUUCAUAAGAUCACAUACAGUUCCCUUUCUUUUCUUUUUUCUUUUUUCUUUUUUUUUAUUGGGCAUGCGAUCGAAUGCUUGCAGUGUUAAUGUGCAGCCCAAACGACUUCACAGGAAACCAAAAAUAAUGGUCAAACAUCAAAAAGGAAUACCCCAUGAGAUAAAAUAGUAAGGUCCCUUACGUGCAAUCGUGAAAACACGCGGCCGCACAUGAUCCUUCGAUCCACUCGAAAGGAUUAGAAACAN
rnacentral:lncRNA from 1 species